rnacentral:lncRNA from 1 species
AAAAAAGACGGAUGGAUGAGAAAUAUUUAAAAAGCCUUUUGAUCCUCGAGUCAAAGAUAUCCUCACUCACCCCCCACUAAAAAAAAAGCGGAGGAAAUCAUCAUAUUCCCAGUAUCGUUUUGAAUUGGAAAGAGAAAUGGAGGCAAACACACACAAAAAAAAGGAGGGAGAGAAUGGGUGGGAUGAACGCGUGAAAAAUGUUAGUCAAAGGCGCCAGCGUUUUUCACAACUGUCAUCUGCAUAUGCAUUAUUUAUCGCACCGUUGAGACAUUGUAUUUCGUUUUAGAGCGAGUGUAGACUCUAUUGGAUGUAGAUGCACUGUGCAGUGUACAGUUUUACACGCACCUCUUUCACCCUGGCGACUUGUUAUUAAAAAUAAAAGAAUGAAUUAUUUCCAUUCAGCCGUAUAGCAACUUGGAUUGGUCGUAAAUUUCACGUUGAAAAACAAAAAUAUAAAAAUGGGAGAUAAUAGUCGCAACAUUGAGAUGACAAUAGGAUAAUCUUCUGUGUGUGCGUGUGUGUGUGUGUGUAACUUUGGAAGAAAACUGAAUCGUCUCUUUUGUUCCAUAUUUUACGACAGUCGGGGCCAAGCUUUUUCUUCCUCCUCCUAUUUUGUUUCUUUUUCAUUUUGAUUUGAUUUACGCAGACGACCCCAAACGGCCAGAUUUCGAAUGCUGAUUAAUACAAAAAUAAAUAAAUGUCACCAACAAAUUAUCCUACGUAGACAACCCGCGGGAUGUCAUUUUCAACGCUGCCAAACAAAACAAAAAGAGGCUCGUAAUAGUUUCUAAAAACAAAACAAAACAAAAACUGGCAAUCAGUUUUAUACAGCCACGUCACUGCAGUGGCGGUCUAUGCAGGACAAAUGUGUUGGCUCUUGUUUAUACAAGGCAGUGCAUUUGUUGUUGUUAUUUGCCAUCUCUGCCAGAGUUUCUCUUUUCAAUAGUGGACACAAGGACAGUGGGAGUGAAUAGAAAAACGUCUCGUUGUGUACAAAUGUUUUUGUCUCGAUUGGACAGUCAGGACACAUUCGGUAGCCAAAUUCUCAUGUUAUUACCCCAUCUGGGGUGGUUGGUGUGAAUGGCUAAAUCACGACGGUGGGAGAACUUCAGCAAAGCCUCUCAUUCCCGAAAUGCAGUGGACUGUCACAGACGGACUGGCCGAUGAGUCCACAUUUCCUUGCGAGUCCCAGCCAAAAACAGCAAACAAUAAUAAACUAUGAAGAAAGAAUGAAAAUAACAACGCACAGAUGGUGAUUUGCUGCUGUGACGACGCAGUCAGUCACACUCGGAUAAUUACACGGAGCGUGAUGAUAUUCAACUAGACGAAGCUCUACAUUUUAUAGAAUCAGAUGAGUAUAUAAGAAUAAGAGAGAGAGAGAGACUCGACAUUUUGCUUUCUUUUUUUAAAGAGGUUUGUGAAUAAAUUUCCGGCAUGAUUAUGUAUUGCUGCAACACACAUAGUGGCGCUAUAGAUUUUUUAUUUCUUUUUAUUUUCUGUAUUUUUUUUUUUGUUUAGGAAAGAAGAGCGACACUGGGCUUGCUGUUAUUGAAUAGAUAAAGGCAAAAGGAGAAAAUAGACGUCACAGUCUUGACUCAUCAAAAGAAUCUUUUUUUUUCUUUCUGUGAGCGACGAUUGUUGUUGUGGGUCCGCAUUAAAAAAACACACGAACGAAAAAGAAAAAAAAAAUAAAAAUGGGGGGGAAGGGGAAGAUACAGAAAUUGAUGGUGCAUAUCAAAAAGCGUGAGUCGCCCGUUGCGCACCACACUGAAAGCCGGGGGCCGCGUUCCUGCGUGUGAUCAUGUGGAAAUUUUAUUUUUUAUUUUUUUCAAAUAUAAUCCUCCGAGUUUUUGGUUUUUUUUUUUCUUCUUCUUAAUGCCCUCCCUCUUUCUUUAUUUAAUUUUUUGUCAGUUUUAUUUGUUCAAAAAUUAUUUCAGAGACUCAACAACAAACCCUUAUUUUUUUAGCUGUUGCGUUAUGUCGGAGGUGGAGGUAUAUGAUGAGUGGGUUGCAAACCCAAAUCGCUCAAUUUCCUGUUACGUUGAAUAACACAGAGAUUACAUGCAUCCAGUAGUUUCGAUGUCCUUUUCUCGUGUCCACUUUCGUACUUUAAGGAAAACUAUUUAAACUUGUUAUUGCCUAGUAAAAUGUUUAUUUUCAUUAAUAUUUCCCCAGGUGUGUGCUGGACUUCAUCGUUCAUUCAACGCUGCUGAGGUGAAUGAAGAAUCAAGGACAGAUAUUCAGGGUUCAGAGAGAACAAUAUCAACACAGACAGGCCUUGGGAAAUGAGUAUCCAAGAUUCACGUUCCAACGAUUGCACGAUUUUCCUUUAUUAAUUUUUGAAAUCAACACAGUAAUUGCGUGUUGUGGAUGGAUCAUAUUUUUAUGUCUGUAAUGUUUACAUUUUCUCUUUUGGCAUUAGUGAUUACAUCAUGUCUUUUCGUAUUCGUUUCUUUUGAAGGGGAAAAGGUUAGUUACUGUUGCUGUGUAGGGCACUGGUUAGGUUAUCGUUGCUGUUAAUCUGACCAUUGGAAGCUCCAUCUUUUUGCGCCACAUUGCUGUGCCAGCCCAGCACUCUUUUGCGUCCAUUCCCUUUGGGGGUCUUUUCUUUAUUUUUAUUUUAUUUUUUUUCUUAUUCUUGUAUGCAGCAGUAGUGUGUGUAGUACUGUUAUACCUCUACCCCAGCUGAUUCCAAUCGGUCAUUAAUAAACGCUGACGUUUAACAAGCAACCCGUUCACAAUGUCUCCAACAGCAUUCCACCUAUAACACACAUACACUGGAAAAGGAGAAGGAAGAAGAAGAAGAAGAAAAAAAAAGGGACAGACGGAACGAGAGAGUCGCGUUCAUUAGCUCCUUCAUCGGUCUUACUUCUUGCACGGCUGCACCCCCAUCUCUUUUAGAUAAAUUUCUAUUCUUUUCAGUCAGGGCAUUGGGGGUCUCUGCCUUCAAGAGCACCACGAAGGAAGGAAAACCUUUGACCUAUAAUAGACAUAAGAGUUUCCAUGUGGCAGGUAUGGAUGUGCACACACAGGACGUGCUAUCUACCAAUUCCAGCAGAUUCUAUUUCUUGUAUUUUAUUUUUUUGUGGUCGGUCGCUCAUUUUCUCUGUGAGCCCCCAAAAGAUUUUAUUCUCAUGUUCAACCCAGGGUGUGACAAACGACACUGAGGUGCACAGCAGCACAACAACAUGAAACGAUCGUCUUCCAUCGAGGGACAGAUUUCUAUUUUUCUUACCCUCCCAUCAUUCACCAGUGAUACAGGAAGAAGGAGCUGAUGGGGGUUACAAACACACUCACAUACAGAAGAUGAAAAUAGUAAUAAUAAUAAUAAAAAGAAGAAGGCCAAGAAAUCUUUUCGUUUCUUUUGUUGUCAUAACGACGCACAAUAGAUUUUGUGGCCACAGGUAUGAAGGAAAUGUUAUAGACCUUAUAGGGGCUUGUGUGUUUAUAAUAUAUGUACAAAUGUCUAAGGCUU